rnacentral:rRNA from 1 species
GGGUCAGUAGGUUGGUCGUGCCACCGGUACGUACUGGUCUCACUAAUUCCUCCUUCCUGAAGAACCGUAAUGCCAUUAAUUCGGUGUUGCGGGGAAACAGGACUGUUACUUUGAAAAAAUUAGAGUGUUUAAAGCAAGCUAACGCUUGAAUACAUUAGCAUGGAAUAACGAAAUAGGACGAUCGAUCCUAUUUUGUUGGUUUCUAGGAUUGACGUA